rnacentral:lncRNA from 1 species
UAGCCGCCGGGGAUCAGGCUCCGCGGCCUGCCGGGGGCGGGGCUGGGCCGGGCCUCCGCUUAACUCCUUCCAGCCCGGCCUCCCGGCAGCGGCCACGCCCCCUCAGGUGCGCACCCCCGCCUCCCCGCUUUCCGGCCGCGAUGCCCUGGGCCGCCCGGGUCAAAUAAGCUCCGGCCUGAGCUUGAAUAACGGGAGGGAAUUAAGGGCUGAUGGUGCGCAUGCGAAGCUUAGCUGCCCAGGGAGUCCCCUCUCCUCCCUGGGUUACUGUCCGUUGAGGGUCGGGCUCAGAAACCUGCCGGAUUCCUGGGCUCCAGGGACCAACGGGGCAGAAAGGUAGGCCCCUCAGGCCCAGCCGCAAUCAGAGGUAGCCUAGCAACCUGUCCACCUUCCUGGCCUGCGCCCCGGCCCAGCCUGCCCAUUUCCCAGGUCUCUUCGACUCCGACACCUUGAACCUCUGGCCUCCCUAACACCUUCUACCUUCACGGGAGGUUGUGAUACCCCGGGGCUAUAGGAAGCCUUUGGCCGGCCCAUACCCAGCUUAGCCCCGACUCCUCCUCACUUCAUCCUGCCGCCUCCCAAUAAAGAAGAGAGUCCAGGUCCUCCGCCCUGUGACCACCCAGCCGGGACCUCCCUCUUACUACUUUGCCCAAAAGACUCUAAGAGAGAAGCCUCCACCUGCAGGGAAGCCCGUCCUUCCGCAAGAUCCCACCCCCCUCAAAGAACGCUGUCCCUCGGAGACCCCUCCCUUCCUCAGUGAGACACCUCCCUUUCGGGGGCACUUUUCCCCAGUGUGGCACUGCCACCGUCAGUGUGUCAGAACCCCUCAGUGCUGCACCCCCUUGCUCUGUGUUCCUCCCACGCAGUGAGACCCCACCUCCGAGGAAAUCCACUAGUCAUUGUGACCCCUCCUCUCAAGGUGACUCCUCCCCUCAGUGUGACCCAGCCCUCCUCAGUGUGAGGGUUCCGCCCUCCACGUAGGAACACGGUCUGCCCCCUAAGGCCGGAGGAGGGGCUGCAACUGGCCUCUUUAAGUCGGCGCGGUGCCUGGGUGCGCACGCAGUCUCAGGACUCCGUGCACUCGCCGUACCAGACGCUUCCGGUUCUGCCGCUGGUUCCUCCUCCGGCCUCGGCGAAAUAGCCAAUCAUCGCUAGGGUUGGGUGGUGACACGCGAUCCCGGCGGUCCACUCCGGGGCAAACGGUUUAAAAGGGCGUCGUUGAGCCGCCUGCCACCUAGCGGCGGAACGGUGGGCGGAGGGAGAGAAAGCUGCCGUCUCGAGUGCGGAGGCAGGCUGAGAGCUCCUCGAGGAAGCGAGGCUGAGUCCUGCAGGAAUUCUCAAGUACUGUAUUGAUAUUUCUGUAGUAAGCUUAAAAGAGAAUUAAUACAAGCACAGUCCGUAUCGCGUGGGGUUACCGUCUUCCAAUGGAGUCUGGUUACACGUUUAUGAGACUUGGAGCCAAGAAAUACUACUCGCUUGUCGAGGGCUACUGAGAAAAGAAUAAAGACGGUCAUAAAUGAUACAUGAUGCCUUAGAGUCAAGAGAAGGCCAGAUGCUGUCUUGGUGCGCUGUACAAGGGAAGGUAUUGCACAAGUUUGGAGCGAGAGGAAUGGGAGACAUUCGCAAUCCUUCCACAGCCGGUGGAGGCAGGCCAACCUCACAGAAUUGCACGGGGCACGUGCAUCCUGUUCUUUUUUCUGGAGGCGUUUGGUCUUCAGCACACGCUCAUUCAUCACAUUAAUGUUAACAUCUACAACUAAUUUGUGAAUUUGCUUUUUAUUGUAUGACAUCUGUAAACACUAGGAAUUUAUGCCUCAUUUUGUUUAAUAUCAUAGAUCUUUUAACCGACACUGGGUUCUGGCCCUUUAUCACGUUUGAGAAUUACUGUAGUAGUUGGUGAUGGUAAUGCCAAGCCAAAGAGCCAGGUGCCUAUUUUUUGUAAGAUGAUUGCGGUGGUUGUAUGGAGGCCGGGAGACUGAUUAGGAAGGAGGCUGUGACUGUGGUUCAAUCAGGAAAGGAUGAGACCAGCCUGGCCAACGUAGUGAAACCCCGUCUCUACUAAAAAUACAAAAAAAUUAGCCUGAUGUGGCGA